CCGUUGCCGGCGACCGGCGCACGGGUGAGUAACACGUAUGCAACCUGCCCGUGGCAGGGGGAGUAAGCGGGGGAAACCCCGUCUAAUACCGCGUAACGCGGCCUAGGGACAUCCCAAGGCCGCCAAAGGGAGCAANCCCGGCCACGGAUGGGCAUGCGGCGCAUUAGCUAGUCGGCGGGGUAACGGCCCACCGAGGCGACGAUGCGUAGGGGUUCUGAGAGGAAGGCCCCCCACACUGGUACUGAGACACGGACCAGACUCCUACGGAAGGCAGCAG
rnacentral:rRNA from 1 species